GUCCAUGUAGUUUAAUAAAAAUAUAGGUCUUGUAAACCUAAGAUAAAGCUAUUUUUUGGACU
rnacentral:tRNA from 1 species